UUUCCUACGGGCGGCUGCAGUGGGGAAUUUUGGACAAUGGGCGAAAGCCUGAUCCAGCAAUGCCGCGUGUGUGAAGAAGGCCUUCGGGUUGUAAAGCACUUUUGUCCGGAAAGAAAUGGCUCUGGUUAAUACCUGGGGUCGAUGACGGUACCGGAAGAAUAAGGACCGGCUAACUACGUGCCAGCAGCCGCGGUAAUACGUAGGGUCCAAGCGUUAAUCGGAAUUACUGGGCGUAAAGCGUGCGCAGGCGGUUGUGCAAGACCGAUGUGAAAUCCCCGGGCUUAACUUGGGAAUUGCAUUGGUGACUGCACGGCUAGAGUGUGUCAGAGGGGGGUAGAAUUCCACGUGUAGCAGUGAAAUGCGUAGAGAUGUGGAGGAAUACCGAUGGCGAAGGCAGCCCCCUGGGAUAACACUGACGCUCAUGCACGAAAGCGUGGGGAGCAAACAGGAUUAGAUACCCGUGUAGUCC
rnacentral:rRNA from 1 species